rnacentral:sRNA from 2 species
CACAGCAAGUGUCGCGAAUAUCUUCCAGUGAUCGGCCGUAGAUCUGGUCGACAAUGCACGACGGCGACGGCAGGAACUGUGUCGCAUAGCAACAAAUGCGAACAAUGAGAGUUGCAAAAUCGACAUCAGACACUGCCAUUGGAUUACCCCGCUUUGCCCACCAUUUCUGAUAAUCGGCUAAGAAGCUGGGAGAAUGGAUAACUUGCUUCAUCCUAGACAAAUCAAAUAAGAGGGAGGGAUUAAAAUUAGAAUAAAAUAGAUCUGAGCUGUCUUUCCAAAGAGUUCGCCCUCAUCAACCUUACCAAUUCAGCUCACUGACAAAGUACUGCACA